CUCACGUAUUGUAAUGUGUUAUGGAAGAUGUUGACAAAGUGGAAUUUCUUGAAGGAAUGACAAUCUGUCAUGCAAAGGCUGCUUUAUUUGCAGUGUCUGUGACUCAGUGGACUGAUGAUACUGUCACUUCUUGGAAAUUCUAAGCGGAAGAGGCUACAAAUAAACCAAGUCUUUGGCUUGCCAGUCAUAUGCAAGGAAUAGCUAUCUGAUGAAGGGAAAUUAUAUAACUACAUAAGCACAGCAUUUUUUUAUGCAGUUCUGGAAGCAGCCCCUGUUGUUCUUUUUAAAGGACAAGAGAAAUGUGCAUCUGUCACCCUUGCACCAAGAAUGACACAAGAACAGAUGAGGACGCAGCGUAAAAAGGAAGAAAAGAAAGGUCAUUAUGGAAGGGAAACUUCAGCUUAAAUAGACGGACAUGAUACAUUUUAUUUGAUUGGUUAAUUAAUAAAAACAUCUUCCUCAAACACCAUCCUUCAGAGGAACAGAAAAGCAAGGUGAAAAAACACCACCUGCAGAUUGUUUAAACUAACAAGUUAUCACAUUCCUACAACUCCCUAAAAAUUUUCACAAGCCACUGUGAGAAGUGAUUGCCAUUUCUCUCUCCCUGACCAGGCUGGCAUCCACAUGCAUCAGAUACAGACAACAAUAUACACAAGUAGGGAUAUUGCAGGAAUGUUUUUUGCCUCCAGAAUAGUUCUGCACUUGCACACCGAUGUAUGAGAAUUCUUUACUGUGGCAGAAAAGUUCAUGGAGGCCUGGAGAGGACACACACGGGCCACGCUCCUUGUUACAGUUCUCCACACCUCUGGGUGUGCAGUACAGGAGCACAGGUGGAAGCAGAAGCACACUCGGAAGUAGGAAAUGUUCUGAAGUUCAGCAGUUGCAGCUAAUCAUUAAAGUCAACAAGGUGAACAAUUAUUUACUUUGCUGCUUUUAUGAAAAGGGGGCGGGGGGGAGUAAGGAAGAGGGAAUCAAGUAG
rnacentral:lncRNA from 1 species